GCCGGGCGGGGCAGGGGCGGGGCCGGAGCACUCGCCUGGCACCUCCCCGUGUCCCAAGCGCCGCCCCCGCCCCCCCACUUCCUGCCCCGCUACCGCCCGCGAAAGUUGCGGUGGGCGGGGGUUGCGGCGCAGGCCCAGGUCCGGCCGACUUUCUCCAAGGGCGCUCGGACUUUGGGGAGCCCUUCUCCCUGGGGGAGCGACCUCGCCCGUGGAGUGAUGGCCGGGCGUCCCCCCGGGUGCCUUUGGUCCUCCGUGGAGGUCAGGAGGUGGUCCCUGUCGCGCUGGGCGCCCUCGCAUGGCCGUUCGGUAACGACAGACUCGGGAGAGGGCACCGGGCUGGGCCGAAGCUUACUGAGCCCCCUUGGCCCAUCAAGCCGCCCCGGCGGGAUACCCGAGGCUGAGGCUGAAGGCACACGGGCCCAGGACUCCCAGAGCCCUCUUCCUGUCCUCCGCCCUGGCCGGGGGCCCAUAGGAAGACCCCCGACCCUGCAUAAAGGCCAGGAUUCCCCAGCUUUUGGCCAAAGUCCUGGCCACUCGCAGCUGCCCAGCGGGCAGUUCCUGGCGUCCAGGGCGGAAUGCGUGACAUGAGUGAGGGCAGGAAGGUGCUCUCCGGCCCAGGGUCGCAGCCGGCCCCGGUGCUGAUCCGCCCUGAUCUCCCUUCUAGGCCACACCCUGGGUGGUGGGGGCGCGGUCUGUCCAGCUGGCAACGUGUGACGGUAGGAGGGGCUUCAAGGACAAACAGAUUCUGCAACUGAAAUUAUAUGGAUCCUGGCUCAGCUGCCGGGAACCGCGGGUUUUCACUGCUGAUUCACUGGGGGACACCAGGCAAGUCCAAGCCCUUCUCUGAGACUGGCUCAGCCCGGAGGCUGGGGUGCGGUGUCUGAGGGCUCCCACCCUGGACUCCGGUGGAAUCCUGGGCCUGUAUGAGCUGGGGCUGCACUGCAGCCCCCGGACCCCUUACCCCGUGGCUUCCCUGCGCAGGGGCCGGAACGGGGAUGCGAGCGCAGAGAGGGUCCCCUGGGCCCAGGGCCUCCGAUGGGGGUCCUGUCCUGGAAAUUGGUCUCUGCAGAGUCAGACUCACCCCUUCUCCACUGAGGUGGAAGCAGGGGGUCCCAGCUUAGGGUCUGGCCCGUAGAGAGAGGUCAGGAAGGAGCUGGCCCCUGCAGCAGUAAACUCAGGCCAGGUGGCUGGUGAGGCGGGGGCUCAGGUCUCUUGCCCUUCCCCGAGGAAGCAGCAGUGGGCACCUUUAGGGCAAGGGGGAGAGCUUUCCUCACCGAAGCAAGAUGGGGCAGCAGGUGGACCCAUCAGCAUCUCCCUAAGAAAUCAGAAAGCCAGGAGUGAAACCUGAGCGGGGCCCUCCAGCCCCAUCUGAGAGCCUACACUGAUCCCUCCUCCUGCAAAGCCUCAUCCCCUCCUCUCUAGAGCGGGGAGACCCGGCUCCCACUGGACUUGCUUGUGAAGAAUGGACGGAUAAAUUACCCAGAGGCUUCCCACUGUGCUGGGACAGAAAGGGCUCAGAGAGGAAGAAGAGCUACCCACUCUCCCAACCCCUCGCCUGGACCGCCGGCGCAUUGAUGCACUAAAUGUCUCUUUCCCCAGGCAGCCGCCCGCCAACAAUGCCAUGGGUACCUGCUGCCCCCUGGUGGUGCUGUCACCACGGGGCACCUGGCUGCACCCAGGAGGGGCUGCACAGAAAAUCUGGGGUUGACCGUUGAGAAGACCCAACUCAGGAGACACAGACUUCACCACAGUGGCCCUGAGCCACUCAGGCCUCCCUGGUUCCCAGGUCCUGAUCGGCAUAGGACAUUCACCGGCCCUGUGCACCUCCCAGAAUCCUUGGAGGCUCUGAGGGCAGGAUGGAUGUGAAUCAAAGAACAAAAGUUUGGUGGGGCCAGGUACAGCAGCUCAAGCCUGUAGUCCCAGCACUUUGGGAGGCUCAGGCAGGCAGAUGGCUUGAGUCCAGGAGUUCAAGACCAGCCUGGGCAACACAGUGGGUCCCUGUCUCAAAAAUAAAAUAAAAGGUAAAGAAAAUGGGGCAGGAGCUCCCUUUGUAACCUUUAGUGUGAGUGUAAUGAUGAACAGGUUGAGACUGUGGACUCAAGGCACAUGCCAGGAAGACUAAUAGAGAGGACGCUGUUUGGGAAAAUCCUACCACCAUCCAUGUCCACUUGGACUCAGGGCUGUCUGCCAGGACUGCCUGCUGCACACCUCCAGGGGGCGAGAGUCCCAUCACACCUUGGAGAUGGGCUCCAGGGGGAGCUGCUUACACAGACUGCCAGUGAGCAGCUGCCAGUCCAGCCGAGCAGAUUAAACCAGGGAGCAAGAAGUGCCAGCAUGGGCCACAUACCCCAAGUAUGGGGGAGGGUCACAGGUGGCGGAGGAGGGCACCAGGCAGGGCACACCCGGGGAGGGAGCAGCAAGGCUUCCAGGAGAAACUGAGGUUUGAGUUGACAACCAGAGAUUGAUCAUGGUUGCAGUGACUAGGAGAGGGUGACAUGGAGGAUGGAGAGCUUGGACAGGAGUUGAUUUUUAAACCACAAAGGAAUUCAGUGUUGCCAUGAUCUCAGGCAUUGAACAAUAAACCGCAGUGUCCUCCUGAGCUCCUGUCUCAUUCUCCCCGGCAGCCAUGUGGGCAGCGAGUCCCAGCAGUCCACCUUCCUGUUCUGUCCAGCAUCUGCCCCCUCCUGGCCCACCCCCACCAAGCCCCAGGCCCCCUCUCCUUGGACCCGCUUCCACCCUUCCACCUGUCCUCCGCAGCCAGCAAGGACCCAGUCGGCCCUCAGUGACACCCUGUCUCUCUUCUGCGCGGAUGGGCACCUCGGGGCUCCCGCCUCACUGGAGGUAAAAUCUAGCAAAUCACUGUAAUUGUAAUUUUUAAAUCCAAUAUAUUCUUUCAUGGAAGCCACAGAUGCGUUAAACUGAUCCAAAGACAGCUUAUAAAAGGCAAUGUAAUCGGAGGCUGGACGUGGUGGCUCAUGCCUGUAAUCCCAGCACUUUGGGAGGCUGAGGCGGGUGGAUCCCUUGAGUCCAGGAGUUCAAGACCAGCCUAGGCAACAAGGUGAAACGCUGUCUCCACCAAAAUACAAAAAUUAGCCUGGCAUGGUGGUGCACGCCUAUAGUCCCAGCUACUUGGGAGGCUGAGGUGGGAGGAUCACUUGAGCCCAGGAGGCAGAGGUUGCAUCGAGUCGAGAUCGUACCACUGCACUCCAGCCUGGGUGACAAAGUGAGACCCCAUCUCAAAAAAAAUAAAAAAUAAAAGGCAAUAUAAUCUUAUUUAUUGACUUGUGGCAUAUUUUAACACUAUCGCUAUGUGAAUUAACG
rnacentral:lncRNA from 1 species